ensembl:lncRNA
GUGGGGACUCCGCCACCGGAAGAGGAGACCAGGGAUUCCUGCAGACUUUUUGAGGCUGUUCCUUCUGACUGGUGCAGGGUACUGUGAAUUUUCUCCCAGUAGAUUAUGGCUGAAAGGAUUGGGCCCACUGGAAAUCCUCAAAAGCUAUCAGCUGAAACUAACCAGAAGCCAGAAGACAAGGCAACCCACAGAUGCAGCUUAUUCAUUCAGCCCUAACAGAGCAGAACAAAUAAGGCUGAAGAGUAGGUUCGGACUCACAGAGAAGACAGCUGGCACAGAAGCUGACAAGAUGUUUCCGAAUGAGCUUUGCCAGGUGUUGGCACAUUUGUGGGAUCACCAUGGAUACAAGUUCUGCUCCUCAAUUUUUAAGCUGCACCUCUAUUUUAUUUAUCAGCAUUUUCUAGAAUGAUUGAAAUAAGAGAUUCUGGAGACUCAACUAACUGGAAGGGAAACGUUACCUUCUACAUUCCAAAUCAAAUGUAAAUAUACAACCAGCUGACCCAACUUGACCUCCAGGCUCAGAUCAUCAAAACUUUCAAGGUCCUUGAGAGAAGGAACCAUUCAUGUCUGGCUUGCCUAGCACAGUGACCAGUACAGAAGAGAUGCUGCUGCUGCUGCUGCUGCUGCUAAGUCGCUUCAGUUGUGUCUGAUUCUGUG